UUCAGGAGGGAAGCUGAUCUCUGUUGGACUGAAGAGUCCACACUGCACACUGGAGACUCUCAGUCUGUCAGGGUGUCUGAUCUCUGAGGAAGGCUGUUCUUCUCUAGUCUCAGCUCUGAGCUCCAACCCCUCCCAUCUGAGAGAGCUGGACCUGAGCUACAAUCAUCCAGGAGACUCAGGAGUGAAACUACUGUCAGCGGGACUGGAGGAUCCCCUGUGGAGACUGGACACUCUCAGGGUGGAGCCUGCUGGAGUCAGAUGGUUGACACCAGGUCUGAGGAAGUAUUCCUGUGAACUC